GAAGGCAUAGCCCAGUGGUAGAGUGCGUGCCUAGCAUGCACAAGGUCCUGGGUUCGAUCCCCAGUCUUUCCA
rnacentral:tRNA from 1 species